rnacentral:rRNA from 1 species
UACGUAGGGGGCGAGCGUCAUCCGGAAUUACUGGGCGUAAAGCGCACGCAGGCGGUUCGCCAAGUUUGGAGUGACAGUUGUCGGCUCAACCGACAAAGGACUUCAAAAACUGGUGAACUUGAGGACGAGAGAGGAACAUGGAACUCCAGGUGUAGUAGUGAAAUGCGUAGAUAUCUGGAAGAACACCAAUGGCGAAGGCAAUGUUCUGGCUCGUUUCUGACGCUCAGGUGCGAAAGCCAGGGGAGCGAACGGG